rnacentral:tRNA from 2 species
GGAGAGGUGCGAGAGUGGUUGAAUCGGGCGGUCUCGAAAACCGCUAAGGCAGCAAUGCCUUCGAGGGUUCGAAUCCCUCCCUCUCCU